GUGUACCACGCGUCCACUGCGGUUCUGAGCGCGCCGUCCGCGCCCACCUGACCGCUGCUCCAUAAGGUUUGUUAGAG
rnacentral:sRNA from 1 species